GGGCUCCGGAGGGCUGCAGCCAUCUUAUUGUAACCCUAACCUUUGUGAGGCGUAGGUGCAGUGCUUUUGUUCCCCGCGUGUUGUUUUUCUCGCUGACUUUCAGCGCGCGGAAAAGCCAUGCCCUGCUGCCAAUCGUCGUGGAUGUCCGUUUACCAAACCAAAAAAUGUCAGCUGCUGGCUCGCUUGCCCUUUCCGGGAGCCUGCGGUAGCCGCUCGCCCGGCCGGGCACCCCGCCUAAGGCCGCGGUAGGCCGGGCGCCUCCCCGGAGGCGCCCAUCGCCACCGCGAAGAGUUCGUCUCUGUCAGCCGCGGGGCCCUGGGGGCCGACCGUGUAUGGCUGGCCGCAGGCAGAGAAACCGAGCCGGCACCCACGCGGCGCUUCCCUGAGCUGUGGGGCUUGCACCUGGGACCGGCUCGGACAUUU
ensembl:misc_RNA Telomerase-vert Vertebrate telomerase RNA